CAACCCUCAAAAGACCAAAGGUCCAAAGGACCUCUGUAUAGACAAAGUUGCUCUUAAGUGCAAGACGUGACUCUCCAUGGACUUAACAGGACUGAACAGAGGUUAUUCAUCACGUCUGUCACUAUGAUUCCACUAGCUACUUAAACUCCAGGCUGCAGUAAACAGUAAGAUGUGUUCAGCCAACCUCAGGUGCCUUUUGCAUACAAAAGUCCUGCCUGUCUGAGAUUUGGAAAAGAGUUGCGAACUCAUCAGAGGCUGAAGUCAGAAUGUUUUUCAUCAGUGUGCCUGAUCAUCCCAGCCUUUUGACCAUAAAUGAUACAAAAUGGUGGGACUCCAUCUUUGGAAGUACUUUGCUCUUCCCUCAUCCUGAGAGGACAAGGAAAUUGCAAGAUGACUGGUAUAGUAAUAUGUCUGUGUGAUAUGUGCCUUAGCAGACGCAGGCCUGAACUUCCAUCUAGUUCAUUACCCAGCAGCACAACUACUUACAUGCAAGCCGCAGUCCAUUUACUUCUAACUGGGAAUAAUUGAUCCAACUGAAGAGGAGAAAUACGGAAUCUCCGUGUGUCAGCUACAAAGAGACCGCAAUACUUGGCCUUCAGUUCUCUGAUUUCUAUUGCAAUAUAUUAUGCUCCUUAUUAAGGAGAAGAACCAGACAGAUGAAAGAAGGUACAAUUCAUGGUUAGGACACUGAGCUGGAAGUCAUGCAGUCUGGCGAAGCUUCCUCUGUGAACAUGGGAAAGUCACUUGAUUCUCUAUAUCUUCAUUUACUGUACGAUACAGGAUACCCCCUUUCAUGGUAGUUCUGCCUGUCAGCACCAGGUAAAUGUGCCAAAUUAUGUGAUGUGUUACUCAAUAGCAACUCUGUGAGUGCUGGAGGUGAUGUACUGCACCAGGCUACAACACUGACAUAGGAAAACUUGAAAGGUCUAGUUAGAAACACAAUAUGGUAAAGUCAUAUAGGUGUGCCAUCC
ensembl:lncRNA